rnacentral:rRNA from 1 species
GAAUUCCUAGUAAGCGCUAGUCAUCAGAUCGCGUUGACUACGUCCCUGCCCUUUGUACACACCGCCCGUCGCUCCUACCGAUUGAAUGGUCCGGUGAAGUUUUCGGAUUGCGGCGAUGCCGGCGGUUCGCCGCCGGUGACGUUGGGAGAAGUUCAUUAAACCUUAUCAUUUAGAGGAAGGAGAAGUCGUAACAAGGUUUCCGUAGGUGAACCUGCGGAAGGAUCAUUG